AGCUGUGGAAGGGCGGCGUAGAAGAGGAAAGGCUGGGGGUUUCGGAUGGUUGUUUUUGAAGCCAUCAGUAUUCUUGAAGAAGCAGCAUAUCUUGAACUGUCCUAUGGGUGAAGGCUUUGAUGUGGUCCUGUAAAAACUGGCAUUGAAAUGGAUGGCAUCUGAUCCUGCUUCAUGUGAUUCUUCAUUUAGCUCUGGACUCUUUACAUCAUUAAGGCUUUUUCUUUGCAGGAAUUUAAAAGCAACCCUAUGAAUAUAACAUUUGUCAAAAAGAGCAAGUGCCAAGCCAGUUGAGAAUAACCUUACAAUGUGUACAAGGAUUCCAGUUCUGCUGCUAUAUAAACCAGCCUCAAAUAGUCUGAGUCUGUGAUAUCACUGGGUCACCC
rnacentral:lncRNA from 10 species